rnacentral:tRNA from 1 species
GAGGGUGUGGCUCAGUGGUAGAGCGCGUGCGUAGCAGGCACGCAGUCCUGGGUUCCAUCCCCAGCACCUCCA